rnacentral:rRNA from 1 species
GACAGAGGGUGCAAACGUUGUUCGGAAUUACUGGGCGUAAAGGGCUCGUAGGCGGCCAACUAAGUCACACGUGAAAUCCCCAGGCUUAACCUGGGAACUGCGUGUGAUACUGGAUGGCUUGAAUUCGGGAGAGGGAUGCAGAAUUCCAGGUGUAGCGGUGAAAUGCGUAGAUAUCUGGAGGAAUACCGGUGGCGAAGGCGGCAUCCUGGACCGACAUUGACGCUGAGGAGCGAAAGCUAGGGGAGCAAACGGG